rnacentral:rRNA from 1 species
UACGAAGGGGGCUAGCGUUGUUCGGAAUUACUGGGCGUAAAGCGCGCGCAGGCGGUUCUUCAAGUCAGUGGUGAAAGCCCGGAGCUCAACUCCGGAACUGCCAUUGAAACUGUGGAACUUGAGGAUGAGAGAGGUGAGUGGAAUUCCCAGUGUAGAGGUGAAAUUUCGUAGAUAUUGGGAAGAACACCGGUGGCGAAGGCGGCUCACUGGCUCAUUUCUGACGCUCAGGCGCGACAGCGUGGGGAUCAAACAGG